rnacentral:lncRNA from 1 species
ACUACCUACAGGCUAACUAGGGCUGGAGGAUCUCCUUCCAAGCUUUGCUCUGCCAUGAUGCCUCUGGAUUGGAGCCAGCUGAUCACAGACUGAAGCCAUGAACAAAUUAAACGUUUUCUCCUUUAAGUUGUGAGCAUCUCAUAUUGUGUCCAACAAUGGGAAAGCUGACUAAUACAGGGAUCGAGCAGCAGGCGGCAAAACCACUGAGCUAAAUCCCUGGGCCAAGUCUCUGUUUUUCUUAAUCAUCUGCCUAGAUGUACUCAGAGGUCUACAAAACUCGCCCACCAAUCCAUUUGUUCAUUGAAUCUGAAAACGACUCUGUGAGUCUCAUUUUCCAGAUGAGGGAAGGUGAGGCUGAAACCAAGAUGACAGGAGAAGGUGACUGGAGUGGGGAUCAGAGAAGAAGGAAGAUGGAAUAAACAGGAAAGGGCUCCUGCAUAAACUGCCAAGAUCAUCAGAUGUGCUACACCACGAAAGUUACGUUGACUCAACUCCACGCAUCUGAAGGUCCUCGGAAACAUCUCCCCUGACCCCCAGUGCAGCCCUGGAAGGAGGGCAAAGGCUCUUCUGCAAACACGGGAGUCUGGCAGCUUCUUGUUAAGGAGAUUCAUCCUGGUCACAUGCAUAGAAACAGCAGUCAUUGGAGACAGCAUUCUCUGGUCCAUCACCAGCCAGCAGCAGCCUGGGGCACUAAGCCAGCCAUAGGGACUGGCGUGGAGGUACUCAGUGCUAGCUGUCCUGGGAAGAGCUUACUGCGUGCUGAGCCCUUGUCUGUAUGAAGUUGUUUCAACCUCGCAGUUCUGUUGAGGGUCGAGCCCAGGCUGGCCUUUCACUUGCAGUCCUCCUUUCUCAACUCCACAGUGCUGAGGCCAAGACACGCACCACCACGCCCAUCUCUUGAACAUCUCCGGGACAUUUAUACCCGUGCUGUGACAUUGGUACAUUCACACUGUUGAGCAACCCUCCCUCCCUAUCAUCCCGCUCCAGAAAAGUAGAAACUCUGUAUCCACUGGACAAUAAAUCACCUUUCUUCCUCCCAGCCCCAGCAAACCGGC